UUGACCUCGAUCAGGU
rnacentral:rRNA from 1 species